UACGUAGGGGGCGAGCGUUGUCCGGAUUUAUUGGGCGUAAAGAGCGUGUAGGCGGCCAGACAGGUCCGUUGUGAAAACUGGAGGCUCAACCUCCAGACGUCGAUGGAAACCGUCUGGCUAGAGUCCGGAAGAGGAGAGUGGAAUUCCUGGUGUAGCGGUGAAAUGCGCAGAUAUCAGGAAGAACACCCGUGGCGAAAGCGGCUCUCUGGGACGGUACUGACGCUGAGACGCGAAAGCGUGGGGAGCGAACAGG
rnacentral:rRNA from 1 species